ACAAAAAUCCAGCGCUCACUAUUAUUCUUGGUGCUUAGCAUAAGGACUGACAAAACAAUAGGUAGGUGGAAAAAGGAACAAGAGUACGGAGACUAGCUGAGUUGGGAAUUUAAAGCAGACAAUGAGAACAAUUAUUGGAUUUUAGAAAUUGCAUCGUCCACUGGGAAACGGACAGUGAUUCUGGCCUCAAGAUCCAAUCACCCGGAGAGAGGUGCAAGGGAACUCAG